rnacentral:rRNA from 1 species
UACAGAGGGUGCGAGCGUUGUUCGGAAUUACUGGGCGUAAAGCGCGCGCAGGCGGCCCUUUAAGUCUACCCGUGAAAUGCCGGAGCUCAACUCCGUGCACGCCGGGGGAUACUGGAGGGCUGGAGACGAGUAGAGGCAAGCGGAAUUCCGGGUGUAGCGGUGGAAUGCGUAGAGAUCCGGAAGAACACCGGUGGCGAAGGCGGUCUGCUGGGCAGUAGCUGACACUGAGGCGCGACAGCGUGGGGAGCAAACAGG